rnacentral:rRNA from 1 species
UACGUAGGGUGCGAGCGUUAAUCGGAAUUACUGGGCGUAAAGCGUGCGCAGGCGGUUUUGUAAGCCGGAUGUGAAAUCCCCCGGGCUUAACCUGGGAAUGGCAUUCGGGACUGCAAGGCUGGAGUGCGGCAGAGGAGACUGGAAUUCCUGGUGUAGCAGUGAAAUGCGUAGAUAUCAGGAGGAACACCGAUGGCGAAGGCAGGUCUCUGGGCUGACACUGACGCUCAUGCACGAAAGCUGGGGAGCAAACAGG